rnacentral:rRNA from 1 species
UACGGGGGGAGCAAGCGUUGUUCGGAUUUACUGGGCGUAAAGGGCGCGUAGGCGGCGCAACAAGUCACUUGUGAAAUCUCCGGGCUUAACCCGGAGCGGUCAAGUGAUACUGUCGUGCUAGAGUGCGGAAGGGGCUACUGGAAUUCUCGGGUGUAGCGGUGAAAUGCGUAGAUAUCGAGAGGAACACCUGCGGCGAAGGCGGGUAGCUGGGCCGACACUGACGCUGAUGCGCGAAAGCCAGGGGAGCGAACGGG